GUAAGACUCUCGGGAAAUUGAGAGUACUAUGUAAGAGUGAAAAGUAUGAGUGAUAAGAAUGAAGAAUGUUGAAUCCGUAAGACAGUACGGAUCAGCAAUGUAUGAAUGAAAUGUUUGAAUCCGCGAGACGGAUUCAAAGAAUGAAAGAUGCGAAUGCAAUGUUUGAAUCCGCAAGACGGAUUCAAAACAUAGAAGGAAUGAAAUGCAGAAAAUGAUAUGUUUGAAUAUGUGAGACGGAUUCAGCACAUGUAAUGAAUGAAAGAUGUGAAUGGGUAAUGUAAAUGAAAUGUUUGAAUCCGCGAAAAGGAUUCAAAGCACGAAAGGAAGAAAAUGUAUGAAUAGUAUGUUUGGAACCGCUAGACGGAUUCAAAACAUGAAAGCAAUGAAAGGCAUGAAUGUGACGUUUGAGUUCGCGGGACGGAUUUAAAAUAUAAAAAGGGAUGAAAUUAAUCCACAUCACAAUGUGUCGACAGUUUGACCAUGGUUGUGUCAAACGAGUCAUACGGGUAAAUGUAAAGUAAUAAACAAAAGAAUGAUCGUAAUGGGCAUGCAAACCUAAAUUUUAAAGCGAAAGAAAGAAGUUCGAACAAGUUAUGUGUUAAAUGUGUUAGUAAUGGACUCUUAGGAGUCAUAAUGAAUGACGGGCUACGACCCGGACAAUGAUUUAAAUACGAACAGGUAAGUUUUGUUAAGAAUACCGAAAUGAUGUAAUGAAUGUCUUUGCAAGUAAGCAUGAAUGGAAAGAAGUACGAAGAGUACCUCAAUACAUCUAUGGUAAGUAAGAAAUGACAGUCUGACCUGGAAAGGUCCAACUGCAAAGGUUGAUGAAAUGAGGAACUAGAAUAAAAGAAUUGCAGGUAAGGAAUGAAAUGCGGAAUGUGUUAAAGUUUGUACGCAGGACGUUGAAAAAGGA
rnacentral:lncRNA from 1 species